GACGAACCGAGCGAACGUUGUUCGGAAUCACUGGGCUUAAAGGGCGCGUAGGCGGGCUGUCAAGUCUGGGGUGAAAUCCCCGCGGCUCAACCGUGGAACUGCCUUAGAUACUGACGGCCUCGAGGGAGAUAGGGGCGAGCGGAACUGUGAGUGGAGCGGUGAAAUGCGUUGAUAUUCACAGGAACACCGAUAGCGAAGGCAGCCAACUAGGGGUUAACUGACGCUGAGGCACGAAAGUGCGGGGAUCAAACAGG
rnacentral:rRNA from 1 species